AAUUGAUGCAGGGUGUGUGUGUGUGUGUGUGUGUGUGUGUGUGUGUGUGUGUGUGUGUGUGUGUGUGUGUGUGUGUGUGUGUGUGUGUGUGUGUGUGUGAAAUCAAAGCAACAAUCAAAGCCAAAUAGAACCUCCACAGCAACAUUCCAUUCCAGGCCUAUAUUAAGGGCAGGUUCACAGGACAACAGCUCUUCAGUCUGAUUUUUCAUCGAGCGCAGACACGGUUGUGUUAACGUGAGAAAGAAAAGUGAGGAACAAUGCAACAAUAUCUGUUCAUCAGAGACAACAACAGCAGUUUUCUGAGACAGAAUAUACCAGCCGAAUGAAAUGGAGUACUCCCGUACCCCGUAGACAUGUCUCAGGAGAGACUUAUCCAAGAGCUUGAAGACACCAAAAAGCAGCUGAAAAAGCAGAAAACCCUGGAGGAAAUGUACAUCAACAGGGGGAGAGAAACCACCAGAGAGUCAUAAGUUGAAAAACAGAGGCAGAAGGACAUAAUGAGGGAGCAACAGGCUAUGGGGCCUCGAUGUUCAUCAGCAGCAUGUAUCAAGUCAGCUAAACAUCGCUGCAGUGCAAUCGGCGAGCCCGAGAGGAAUAACAUUUUCAUGGACUUUUGGCAACAUAUGACCUGGGAGGAGAAGAGGGUGUUUGUGUGUGAUCUAAUUGAUGUGGUCCCAUGCAAAGGAGAAGGAGGGCUGAAAAUUCCCAAAGAUCAAAUUCCCUGUUGUUUUUUUUAUGGGUCAGCAGGCAGAGAAGAAGCAUCUGCAAAGAUAUGUUUUUGUCCACCCUAGGAACAGGCGAGUGGUCUGCACUUAACUGGGCAAAGGAAGGACACAUGCAAGCAGACACAGAGGGACAAACACACAGCGACACUCUUCAUUCAGUGGCAGGUCAUGAAUUCAUUUGCAGUUUUUUGCACAACCUCCCAAAGGUGCCCUGACACUACUGCAGAUCCACAACAUCCAAACAGUAUCUGGGACCUGUGUUUCAGUCGAUGGCUAAUCUGUGUGCAGUGUAUUGUCACACUGCAGCAGAGGAGAAUGUAACACUUUUCAAGGCAAGUGUUCACAGAUGAGUUCAACCUAGACCUUUACCACCCAAAAAAGGACCAGUGCAACAUCUGUUGUGCUUUCAAGACCAGCAACUUUCCUGAUAACGAGUGGCAGCACCACCUCCUUUGAAAAGAAGAGGCCCGCACCGAAAAGUUGUCCAACAAAAGCAAGGACAGCAACAAUAUCAUGGUCCUAUGUAUGGACUUACAAGCCGUCCUUUUGUGCCCAAAGCUGAAAGCUCCUGCUGUGCUUUACAAAACAAAGCUCACAGUUCACAGUUUUACUGUGUACAGCAUGCUGACACACAGUGCCUCAUCAUAUUAUGUCUGGCAUGAGUGUGUGUGUGUGUGUGUGUGUGUGUGUGUGUGCGUGUGUGUGUGUGUGUGUGUGUGUGUGUGUGUGUGUGUGUGUGUGUGUGUGUGUGUGUGUGUGUGUGUGUGUGUGUGUGUGUGUGUGAAAUCAAAGCAACAAUCAAAGCCAAAUAGAACCUCCACAGCAACAUUCCAUUCCGGGCCUACGUAUAUUAAGGGCAGGUUCACAGGACAACAGCUCUUCAGACUGACUUUUCAUCGAGCGCAGACACAGUCGUGUUAACGUGAGAAAGAAAAGUGAGGAAUAAGUGUUUGUAUCCUGCUGCCGUGACUCUUCACCUUCACACCGUCCUGUGUGCUCGAUCUGAUUCACAGCAGCAGACAUGAUGUGGCUGCUUUGACUGACAGCUUCACAUUGAAACUGUCCGUCUCUACUGUCAUGAUUACUGCUUCUGAAUCUGCAGCACGCAUGUGUUAGAACAAAUAGAACAUGUUUUCACUGCUGGGA